rnacentral:rRNA from 1 species
AACGAACGCUGGCGGCGUGGAUUAGGCAUGCAAGUCGUACGGGCCGCAAGGCCAGUGGCGCAAGGGUGAGUAAUGCGACGGUAACCAACCCCAUGGGUGGGUAUAGCCGCGGGAAACCGCGGGUAAUCCCCAGCGACGUGUCGGGCCGGCAUCGGCCUGACACCAAAGCUCCGGCGCCGUGGGACGGGCCGUCGUGGUAUUAGGUAGUUGGCGGGGUAACGGCCCACCAAGCCUGCGAUGCCUACCGGGCGUGCGAGCGUGGCCCGGCACACAGGGACUGAGACACUGCCCAGACUCCUACGGGAGGCUGCAGUCGAGAAUCUUCGGCAAUGGGCGCAAGCCUGACCGAGCGACGCCGCGUGGAGGACGAAGGCCUUCGGGUUGUAAACUCCUGUCGAGGGGGAGGAAGGCCGGGUAACCGGCUUGACCGAUCCCUGGAGGAAGCACGGGCUAAGUUCGUGCCAGCAGCCGCAGUAAUAC